rnacentral:rRNA from 1 species
AAGAGGGAAGAGCUCACAGUUGGAAUCUGGCUGUCUUAGAUAGUCCGAGUUGUAAACUGAAAAAGUGUUUUCCAGGCUAGCCGAGUAAAAAAGUUCCUUGGAAUAGGACAUCAUGGAGGGUGAGAAUCCCGUCUUUGGCUUGAGCAUAGUCUUUUGUGUUGCACUUUAAAGAGUCAGGUUGUUUGGGAAUGCAGCCUAAAGUGGGAGGUAAAUCCCUCCUAAAGCUAAAUAUUGGCGAGAGACCGAUAGCAAACAAGUACCGUGAGGGAAAGAUGAAAAGAACUUUGAAAAGAGAGUUAAACAGUAUGUGAAAUUGCUAAAAGGGAAGCGUUUGAAGACAGACUUGCUUGUCUACAAUCAGCCUGGGCUUUUGUCUUGGUGUACUUGUGGACUAUGCUUGCCAACAUCAGUUUGGCCUGGCUGAAAAAACUGGCAGUAAGGUGGCUUCUCCGGAAGUGUUAUAGACUGUCAGAAAAUCAGUUGGGCUGGACUGAGGAAUGCAAUGCAGCUUGACCCUGUGGUCAACUUGGUUGGAUUGGAACCAUUGUUCCGUGAAGGCCAGGGUAGCUACUUGAACUGUAUUUAGGUUGUUGGCUUAAUGUCUUUAAACGGCCCGUCUUGAAACACGGACCAAAACAUGGUUCCAAUCCAACCAAAGUUGACCACAGGGUCAAGCUGCAUUUGCAUUCCUCAGUCCAGCCCCAACUGAUUUUCUGACAGUCUAUAACACUUUCCGGAGAAGCCAUCUUACUGCCAGUUUUUUUCAGCCAGGCCAAACUGAUGUUGGCAAGCAUAGUCCACAAGUACACCAAGACAAAAGCCCAGGGCUGAUUGUAGAC